rnacentral:rRNA from 1 species
GGAUUGGAUGAGAUAUAAGCUGUCUUGAUAAUAUUUAAUUGAAUUUAAUUUUUUAUUUAAAAAGUUAAAAUAAUUUAAAAAGACGAGAAGACCCUAUAGAGUUUUAUAUUAAAUUAAAUUAAAAUUAUUUAUAUAAUUAUUAAUAUAGAUUUAAUUUUAGUAUUUUGUUGGGGUGACAAAAAAAUAAAUAAAACUUUUUUUAUUAUUUACAUAAAUAAAUGAAUUUUUGAUCCAAUUUUAUUGAUUAAAAGAAAAAAUUACCUUAGGGAUAACAGCGUAAUUUUUUUUUUUAGUUCUUAUAAAAAAAAAAGUUUGCGACCUCGAUGUUGGAAUCAGGACAAA